UAGGGAAUCUUCCGCAAUGGACGCAAGUCUGACGGAGCAACGCCGCGUGAGUGAAGAAGGAUUUCGGUUCGUAAAACUCUGUUGUUAGAGAAGAACAGCGCAUAGAGUAACAGUUAUGCGUGUGACGGUAUCUAACCAGAAAGCCACGGCUAACUACGUGCCAGCAGCCGCGGUAAUACGUAGGUGGCAAGCGUUGUCCGGAUUUAUUGGGCGUAAAGCGAGCGCAGGCGGUUAGAUAAGUCUGAAGUUAAAGGGAGUGGCUCAACCAUUGUAGGCUUUGGAUACUGUUUAACUUGAGUGCAGAAGGGGAGAGUGGAAUUCCGUGUGUAGCGGUGAAAUGCGUAGAUAUAUGUAGGAACGCCGGUGGCGAAAGCGGCUCGCUGGUCUGUAACUGACGCUGAGGCUCGAAAGCGUGGGGAGCGAACAGG
rnacentral:rRNA from 1 species